rnacentral:rRNA from 1 species
AUUGAACGCUGGCGGCAGGCCUAACACAUGCAAGUCGCACGAGUGGCGGACGGGUGAGUAAUGUCUGGGAAACUGCCUGAUGGAGGGGGAUAACUACUGGAAACGGUAGCUAAUACCGCAUACCAGCGGAUGUGCCCAGAUGGGAUUAGCUUGUUGGUGGGGUAACGGCUCACCAAGGCGACGAUCCCUAGCGGGUCUGAGAGGAUGACCAGCAAGACUGGAACUGAGACACGGUCCAGACUCCUACGCGAGGCAGCAGUGGGGAAUAUUGCACAAUGGGCGCAAGCCUGAUGCAGCCGUGCCGCGUGUAUGAAGAAGGCCUUCGGGUUGUAAAGUACUUUCAGCGGGGAGGCGUUACCCGCAGAAGUAGCACCGGCUAAAUCCGUGCCAGCAGCCGCGGUAAUAC